AAGACCUUGCGCUUUUGGAGCGGCCGAUGCCUGAUUAGCUAGUUGGUGGGGUAAUGGCCUACCAAAGCUUCGAUCAGUAGCUGGUCUGAGAGGACGGCCAGCCACACUGGGACUGAGACACGGCCCAGACUCCUACGGGAGGCAGCAGUGGGGAAUUUUGGACAAUGGGCGCAAGCCUGAUCCAGCCAUGCCGCGUGAGUGAAGAAGGCCUUCGGGUUGUAAAGCCCUUUCAGCCGGGAAGAAAAGGUUGCGAUUAAUAAUCGCAAUUUAUGACGGUACCGGAAGAAGAAGCACCGGCUAACUACGUGCCAGCAGCCGCGGUAAUACGUAGGGUGCGAGCGUUAAUCGGAAUUACUGGGCGUAAAGGGUGCGCAGGCGGUUUUGUAAGUCGGAUGUGAAAUCCCCGGGCUUAACCUGGGAACU
rnacentral:rRNA from 1 species